rnacentral:rRNA from 1 species
GAUGAACGCUGGCGGCGUGCUUAACACAUGCAAGUCGAACGAAGCAUUUGCGACAGAUUUUUUCGGAAUGAAGUUGCUUAUGACUGAGUGGCGGACGGGUGAGUAACGCGUGGGUAACCUGCCUUGUACUGGGGGAUAGCAGCUGGAAACGGCUGGUAAUACCGCAUAAGCGCACAAUUUUGCAUGACAUGGUGGGAAAAACUCCGGUGGUAUAAGAUGGACCCGCGUCUGAUUAGCUAGUUGGUGAGAUAACAGCCCACCAAGGCGACGAUCAGUAGCCGACCUGAGAGGGUGACCGGCCACAUUGGGACUGAGACACGGCCCAGACUCCUACGGGAGGCAGCAGUGGGGAAUAUUGCACAAUGGAGGAAACUCUGAUGCAGCGACGCCGCGUGAGUGAAGAAGUAAUUCGUUAUGUAAAGCUCUAUCAGCAGGGAAGAUAGUGACGGUACCUGACUAAGAAGCUCCGGCUAAAUACGUG